rnacentral:rRNA from 1 species
AAUCAACGCUGGCGGCGUGCCUAACACAUGCAAGUCGAACGAGAAAGUGGAGCAAUCCAUGAGUAAAGUGGCGACCGGGUGAGUAACACGUGACUAACCUGCCCUAGAGUGGGGGAUAACCUCGGGAAACCGGGGCUAAUACCGCAUAACAUCACGAGGGGAAGAUCCUUGUGAUCAAAGGAGCAAUUCGCUCCGGGAGGGGGUGGCGGCUGCUUAGUUAGUUGGCGGGGUAACGGCCCACCAAGACGAAGAUCAGUAGCCGGCCUGAGAGGGCGCACGGCCACACUGGAACUGAAACACGGUCCAGACUCCUACGGGAGGCAGCAGUGGGGAAUUUUGCGCAAUGGGGGAAACCCUGACGCAGCAACGCCGCGUGGAGGAUGAAGUCCCUUGGGAUGUAAACUCCUUUCGAUCGGGACGAUAAUGACGGUACCGGAAGAAGAAGCACCGGCUAACUCUGUGCCAGCCGCCGCAGUAAAAC